AUGGCGGAUGACGCCCUGGUGCAUCGGGAGGGUCUGGAGGCCCCGGGGGGCCUGGAAUGGGAGACCGUGGUGGUUUCCAUGGAGGCUUCAGCAGCGGCAUCCGGGGCCAGGGUCAAGGCCGAGGCCACGGAGCUUGCGGAGGCAAGGCCGAGGACAAAGAGUGGAUGCCCGUCACCAAGCUGGGUCGCCUGGUCAAGGACAUGAAGAUCAAAAUCCCUGGAGGAGAAUCUGAGAUCACUGAUUUUUUUCUUGGGGGCAUCUCUCAAGGAUAAAGUUUUGAAGAUUAUGCUAGUGCAAAAACAGACCUGCGCUGGCCAGCGGACCAGGUUCAAGGCGUUUGUUGCCAUUGGGGACUACAAUGGCCAUGUAGGUCUGGGUGUUAAGUGUUCCAAGGAAGUAGCCACUGCCAUCCAAGGGGCCAUCAUCCUGGCCAAGCUCUCUAUUGUCCCAGUGUGGAGAGGCUACUGGGGGAAUAAGAUCGGCAAGCCUCACACUGUUUCUUGUAAGGUGACAGGCCACUGUGGCUCUGUGCUGGUGCGUCUCAUCCCUGCUCCUAGAGGAGCUGGCACUGUCUCACCGCCUGUGCCUAAGAAGCUGCUAAUGACGGCUGGGAUCGAUGACUGCUACACUUCAGCCAGGGGCUGCACUGCCCUGGGCACCUUGGCCAAGGCCACUUUUGAUGCCAUUUCCAAGACCUACAGCUAUCUCACUCCUGACCUCUGGAAAGAGACAGUGUUCACCAUGUCUCCUUACCAAAAAUUCACUGACCAUCUUGUCAAGACCCACACCAGAGUCUCUGUGCAGAGGACCCAGGCUCCAGCUGUGGCUACAACAUAGGGUUUUUAUACAAUAAUAAUAAAGUGAAUUAAGUCUGUU